rnacentral:rRNA from 1 species
GCUAUAGAUGUCACGAUGGGUGAUUAUAGAGGAAGUAAAAGUCGUAACAAGGUCUCCGUUGGUGAACCAGCGGAGGGAUCAUUACUGAGUUACCGCUCAUCAACCCUUUGUGAACAUACCUUAACUGUUGCUUCGGCGGGUAGGCGUCCCCUAAAAAGGACGUCUCCCGGCCCUCUCCCGUCCGCGGGUGGGGCGCCCGCCGGAGGAUAACCAAACUCUGAUUUAACGACGAUUCUUCUGAGUGACACAAGCAAAUAAUCAAAACUUUUAACAACGGAUCUCUUGGUUCUGGCAUCGAUGAAGAACGCAGCGAAAUGCGAUAAGUAAUGUGAAUUGCAGAAUUCAGUGAAUCAUCGAAUCUUUGAACGCACAUUGCGCCCGCCAGCAUUCUGGCGGGCAUGCCUGUUCGAGCGUCAUUUCAACCCUCAAGCUCUGCUUGGUGUUGGGGCUCUACGGUUGACGUAGGCCCUUAAAGGUAGUGGCGGACCCUCUCGGAGCCUCCUUUGCGUAGUAACAUUUCGUCUCGCAUUGGGAUUCGGAGGGACUCUAGCCGUAAAACCCCCAAUUUUACUAAGGUUGACCUCGGAUCAGGUAGGAAUACCCGCUGAACUUAAG